rnacentral:miRNA from 1 species
UAUCACAGCCAGCUUUGAAGA